rnacentral:rRNA from 1 species
GACGAACGCUGGCGGCGUGCUUAACACAUGCAAGUCGAACGGAAAGGCCCUGCGGGGUUCUCGUGUGGCGAACGGGAGAGUAACACGUGGGCGAUCUGCCCCGCACCUUGGGAUAAGCCUGGGUAACUGGGACUAAUACUGAAUAGGACUAGGCGCUCCUGGGGGUGUGGGGGGAAGCUUUGGCGGUGUGGGAUGGGGCCGCGGUCGAUCAGCUUGUUGGUGGGGUAAUGGCCUACCAAGGCGACGACGGGUAGCCGGCCUGAGAGGGUGACCGGCCACACUGGGACUGAGAUACGGCCCAGACUCCUACGGGAGGCAGCAGUGGGGAAUAUUGCACAAUGGGCGGAAGCCUGAUGCAGCAACGCCGCGUGAGGGAUGACGGCCUUCGGGUUGUAAACCGCUUUCGAUAGGGACGAAGCGCGAGUGACGGUACCUAGAGAAGAAGCACCGGCCAACUACGUG